rnacentral:sRNA from 1 species
GCUGGGCAUGGUGGUGCAUGCCUGUAAUCCCAGCAGCUCAGGAGGCUGAGGCAGGAGGAUUUGUGAGUUCAAAGCUAGGCUCAGCAAUGGUGAAGCGCUAAGAAACUCAGAACCUGUCUUUA